rnacentral:rRNA from 1 species
AUUGAACGCUGGCGGCAGGCCUAACACAUGCAAGUCGAGCGAGCGACGGACGGGUGAGUAAUGUAUGGGGACUGCCCGAUAGAGGGGGAUAACUACUGGAAACGGUGGCUAAUACCGCAUACUGUCGGAUAACCCAGAGUGGAUUAGCUAGUGGGGAAGGUAAUGGCUUACCUAGGCGACGAUCCCUAGCUGGUCUGAGAGGAUGAUCAGCGAAACUGGGACUGAGACACGGCCCAGACUCCUACGGAGGCAGCAGUGGGGAAUAUUUGACAAUUGGCGCAAGCCUGAUGCCGCCAUGCCGCGGUGAUGAAGAAGGCCCUAGGGUUGUAAAGUACUUUCAGUCGGGAGGCGUUACCGAAAGAAGAAGCAACGGCUAACUCCGUGCCAGCCGCCGCGGUAAUUC